rnacentral:lncRNA from 1 species
UUAAACUAUUGAAAGAGACAUUAAAGUGGUCGAGGUGUUUAAGUGCUUCUAAAGACUUUGGAAUUGAACCAGAGAGGUUGUUGUACGACAAGUCGAGAUUUNCUUCAAGUCGCUGUGGACAAUGGGCAUUGAAUAACCGUAGUGAAGAUACUCCAAAGCACAUGCAACAUCAAUCAUUAUAUUCAAUCUUUCCAUCAUAUUCAAGCAAUAGUUGUGGGAAUAUAACCAUUUUUCAAGGUUUCCCUUUGGCAUAUAUUCAAGUACUAAUGCCUUGAACUCUUCAUUGGAGCAACUGCUUAUGACGCUUGUCAGAUUCCUGUGUCGAAUGCUACGUAGUAUCUCACAUUCGACAUCAAAUAUUCUUGAAAUGCCUUCUAGCUGCAUAUUAAACACCUUGACAACGAUAUCCUUCUCAUUGUUAAGAAUUCCCUUAUAAACAGAGCAAGAACUCCCGGUGCCAAGUAAAUUGCUUUCAUUGAAUCUUUCCGUUGCUAGCAGCAGUUCAUAAUAAGAGAUUCUUUCCGGCACAAUGGAUUUCAGCUCAUCAACUUCUCUGAUAGUCGUCGUAUCUUUCCUUUUAUUUCUGACAAUUAUAAAGGCCAAAGAAACAACUGAAAUGAAAGCCACAACCCAAAAAACAAUAAAUGAAGCUCGUUCCACCUUCUUUCUCUUUGAUCUGUGAUUAGAAAUUGAAGAGCAAAUUUGGACAUGGAACUUGGGGAUUCCACACAAUGCCUCAUUACCCUUAAAAGAAUCCAUAGUGAAGUUUCUAAAAGAACCUCCAUUAGGAAUUUCUCCACUUAAACUAUUGAAAGAGACAUUAAAGUAGUCGAGGUGUUGAAGUGCUUCUAAAGACUUUGGAAUUGAACCAGAGAGGUUGUUGUACGACAAGUCGAGAUUUGCCAAACUGAUCAUGCUUCCCAUAGACACAGGAAUAGAACCUUCUAGUCUAUUAUUUGCCAAAGACAGAUUAACCAAAUUCUGCAACUUCCCAAUAGUGCUAGGAAUUGACCCUGACAACUGAUUCAUUGCUACAUUUAUAUAGAUUGCUGCUCCUAAGUUACUCAUCUCUAGAGGUAGUGACCCAUUUAAUGAAUUUGAGGACAAGUCUAGAUAGAUCAAAUCUUUUAGGCCCCAUAAGCUUGAUGGUAUGCUAGAAUUCAAAAUGUUGGAGUCUAGACCAAGAUUUCUUAAAGAAGAGACAUUUCCGAGACAUUUAGGAAUUGGGCCUGAAAAUUGAUUAUGGCUCAUAACUAAAGUAUUGAGGCUGAAUAGAUCACAUAUAGCAUGUGGUAUUGAGCCUCCCAACAUGUUAUCUUGAAGAUCUAAUCCUUGAAGUUCAUGCAAAUGGCUUAUAGUUAGUGGAAUAUUACCAGAUAACUCAUU